GGCAUUUUUCAUGUCGUCCUACAAGGAAGAUAAACAGGAAAUAAUUAAUCAUCAUCGUAAAGUGGAAAAAAGAUUGGCAGGGUUAACAAGAAGAGUUGUAGAGAACACAGGGGUAGGAC